rnacentral:rRNA from 1 species
UACGUAGGGUGCGAGCGUUAAUCGGAAUUACUGGGCGUAAAGCGUGCGCAGGCGGCCGUGCACGUGGGGUGUGAAAGCUCGCGGCUUAACUGCGAGAGACCAUCCCAUACGGCGCGGCUCGAGCCGUCCAGAGGCCGGUGGAAUUGCCGGUGUAGUGGUGAAAUUCGUAGAUAUUAGGAAGAACACCAGUGGCGAAGGCGGCUCACUGGCCCGGUACUGACGCUGAGGCGCGAAAGCGUGGGGAGCAAACAGG